CUACGGGAGGCUGCAGUGAGGAAUAUUGCACAAUGGGGGGAACCCUGAUGCAGCAACGCCGCGUGGAGGAUGACGCAUUUCGGUGUGUAAACUCCUUUUAUAUGUCAAGAAAAUGACGGUAGCAUAUGAAUAAGCACCGGCUAACUCCGUGCCAGCAGCCGCGGUAAUACGGGGGGUGCAAGCGUUACUCGGAAUCACUGGGCGUAAAGGACGCGUAGGCGGGUUGGAAAGUCAGGUGUGAAAUCCUACAGCUUAACUGUAGAACUGCACUUGAAACUUCUAAUCUAGAGUAUGGGAGGGGGAGAUGGAAUUAGUGGUGUAGGGGUAAAAGCCGUAGAUAUCACUAGGAAUACCUAAAGCGAAGGCGAUCUCCUGGAACAUUACUGACGCUAAGGCGUGAAAGCGUGGGGAGCAAACAGGAUUAGAUACCCUUGUAGUC
rnacentral:rRNA from 1 species